UACGGAGGGUGCAAGCGUUAUCCGGAUUCACUGGGUUUAAAGGGUGCGUAGGUGGGAAUGUAAGUCAGUGGUGAAAUCUCCGUGCUUAACAUGGAAACUGCCAUUGAUACUAUGUUUCUUGAAUUUUCUGGAGGUCAGCGGAAUAUGUCAUGUAGCGGUGAAAUGCUUAGAUAUGACAUAGAACACCAAUUGCGAAGGCAGCUGGCUACACAAAUAUUGACACUGAGGCACGAAAGCGUGGGGAUCAAACAGG
rnacentral:rRNA from 1 species